CAGUCGCCGCGGUAAUACGUAGGUGGCGAGCGUUGUCCGGAAUCAUUGGGCGUAAAGGGAGCGCAGGCGGGCAUGUAAGUCUUUCUUAAAAGUGCGGGGCUCAACCCCGUGAUGGGAAAGAAACUACAUGUCUUGAGUACAGGAGAGGAAAGCGGAAUUCCCAGUGUAGCGGUGAAAUGCGUAGAUAUUGGGAGGAACACCAGUGGCGAAGGCGGCUUUCUGGACUGCAACUGACGCUGAGGCUCGAAAGCCAGGGGAGCGAACGGGAUUAGAUACCCCCGUAGUCCCUGUCUCUUAUACA
rnacentral:rRNA from 1 species